UCAAACUUGUAAAAGGAACAAUUCUGAGUCAGAGUCAGAUGUUGAAGAUUUCUUGGAUUUUCAAAAAAGUGUCACUAACAGACAACCUCAACUGGAGCUGCUUCAUUUUAUCAUGCGAGAUCAUGGUGUUAAAAAACAUUCCAGCAAUCAAGCUGUUCAUGCAGUUUUGAAUAGUUUGUUGUUAACGAGAGGAAGUUAUUCAUUAGUCUUAUCCUGUUGACACCCUCCCAAUAAGUUUUAUUCUAUGGCACAGAUUCCAAGUGCGUGUGGUUGCAUCGAUGGAAGUCACAUACCAAUCAUCCCUACAUCAAAAGAUGAAGAUGCAUUUCUCAAUCGCCACUAGUUUUAUUCAUUGAAUGUCCUUUACGUUUGUGGACCAGAUUUGCAUGUUUAUUAUGUUUACGCUGAUGGAACUGGGCGAUGACAUGAUUCUAGGGUGUUAAGUCAAUCAGCACUUUAGAAUGCUUUUGAGGCCAGGGGUGAGCGAAUUUCUCCUGGAGCAGUUGUAUUAGAUGACUAUGGCUACCCCUGCAACAACGGGCUAAUUACACCUUACAGUGACAACUAAACAGCCUCCAAGCGUCGGUUCAAUGACGUGCACCGAAGAACUAGAAAUAUUAUCAAGCGAUAUUUUGGGGUUUUGAAAAACAGGUUUUACUCUCUGCAAGUACCUAUUUGAUUUUCUAAAGUAGAAAAUGCUGCAAAACUUGUUGUGUGUGCUUGUAUGAUUCACAACAUGUGCCUUAAAGUUGGUGAUAAGGAUGUAGAUUUUUCAGUUUUAUCUGACACACCUUUGCCCUUUCAAGCUUAAGACGACACUCUAGCUGAAAUUCAAUCAAGUACUCGCACGGA
rnacentral:lncRNA from 1 species